GAUCCUGGCUCAGGACGAACGCUGGCGGCGUGCCUAACACAUGCAAGUCGAACGGAAGUUAGAGCUUCGGUUUUAACUUUAGUGGCGAACGGGUGAGUAACGCGUGAGGAACCUGCCUUUCAGUGGGGGACAACAGUUGGAAACGACUGCUAAUACCGCAUGACACUUUUGGGAGACAUCUCCUGGAAGUCAAAGCUUUAUGUGCUGAAAGAUGGCCUCGCGUCUGAUUAGCUAGUUGGUGAGGUAACGG
rnacentral:rRNA from 1 species